rnacentral:misc_RNA from 1 species
GCCACAGUCUAUUUUGUGAUGCUUGUCAUAUGUGAAUUUUUAAGCUGUUAUUUGUUUGUUAUUCAACAUUUUGAAUGGUUACUGUGCAUUUAUUUGGUUAUUUUAGUUAUUUUAUGCGCGGUUAAAGCCUUGCUUAAAUAAAUUCACCAUGCUAAUAAUGAAUCAUAAAAAUUUUAUAUAGUUGUUGGAUUAGUUAUAUGUUUGGGUUUACUUCGCGUCUUAUUAUUGUGGUCAGCAUUCUGGUGGUAAUUAUUAAAUUACCAAGCCGGGGACUUACUGCUAAGCGAAAAUAAGCUUAAUCCAGCAAUAAGAAAACCGCGGUAAAUAACCGGGGUUUUUUUUUGUUUGGC